rnacentral:rRNA from 1 species
AUUGAACGCUGGCGGCAGGCCUAACACAUGCAAGUCGAGCGAGCGGCGGACGGGUGAGUAAUGUCUGGGAAACUGCCUUAUGGAGGGGGGUAACUACUGGAAACGGUAGCUAAUACCGCAUACCAUCAGAUGUUACCAGAUGGGAUUAGCUAGUGGGUGGGGUAACGGCUCACCUAGGCGACGAUCCCUAGCUGGUCUGAGAGGAUGACCAGCCACACUGGAACGGAGACACGGUCCAGAUUCCUACGGGAGGCAGCAGUGGGGAAUAUUGCACAAUGGGCGAAAGCCUGAUGCAGCAAUGCCGCGUGUGUGAAGAAGGCCUUCGGGUUGUAAAGCACUUUCAGCGGGGAGGCGUUACCCGCAGAAGAAGCACCGGCUAACUCCGUGCCAGCAGCCGCGGUAAUAC